GGAGUUACGGGGCAUCACGGCUCUGCCGCCAGGCUCCGACCAAGGGCGUUCGUCCUCCCUCGGCUGCGCGCAGCCAGGCCAUGGGCCAGUGCACAGGAAUUGCUGAAAUUUCCAAUACCUCACGGUUCCCAGAAGUCAGAGGACAUUUCAGUCCUGGCUCUGCUAUCUCGGCUUACACUUCCUUCCCGUCUCAGCCUACAAAGCUGGCACUCAGCGCUUAACACUGCCUUUGCAAGGCAAGACCGCGGGUGGCUAUUCCCGAGGGCCGGGUCCUGGGGCAGGCGCGAGGGUGCGGACGAUCGCUGCGUUCACGCCGUUCACAUCAGCACCAGCGACCGUGGUGAUGCCCUUGAAGAAGUUUCUCCCUGGUGAAAGGUGGUUUGGGGGGAACUGUUCCAUGUGGCAGUGGGAAGAGGAAAGGGCCAGUGCCCACACCGCGGCACCGCACUGGUGGCCCCAUGCCUGUGCGCGGGGAGCCAUCCAGCGCCGGCUGCGAAUGUUUUCUGUUCUUACAAGAAAUCCAGCUGAAAACAAGACAGACUUCACUUGCCAAACGGUUUCUUCCAAAGCUCUUCUCUUGCUUUUUGUGUUUAAGCAGCAGUUAUUUUUGCUCAGAAAUGUCCUUUUUGCUCUGUGCCGGCGCCAGGCUCCCCGGAGCUCCCAGCGACUGUCCUCCUCCCGCCUGGCCUGGCUGCAUGACCGACUGCCUGCCCGGGAAAGCUUGGGAUGUGGCUCCGGACCGCUGGGCCCCCCGACGCUGGGGCCGACCCUGUGCCGUGCUGCCCCGUGCACAGGGCUGCUCCCGGGUUCCCAGGCAGCAAUCACAGCAGGAUUCACCUUGCGGGGUGCCAGACAGCCCCAAAGCCUGCCCGAGCUUCAGGGAACGGCUUGCUGGUUUGCGGCAGGGACAGCUGUGGGGUAACCCAUGGCCACCCUCCAUCUCCUCAUCCUCUGCGGCGGACCCAUACAGAUCUGCAGCUGGAGGAACCAGGGGAUUUGCCUUCAUCCCCCUUCUCCACCCACUGUUUUGGGAAGUCUCUUUCAAAACAUGCAAUGUCAAAGAUGCAUCAAGUCCCUUCUUAAAAGCCUUACAUUGGGUGGGCUGGAUUUGUGCCUCAUGCACACUGACCGCACAGCGUAUUAGGGCCAUGGAGACCUCACCUUUCCUGAGGAUGAGGGGACCAGUCCUCCCAGUUUGAACCAGUGGCUGGUACAAGUGGCUGGAACACGCAGGUCCCUGAGCCUUCCCUGCAAAAUUUCCCCUGAUGCUUAGUAUUUGGCUUGUGGUUCAUCUAAGAACCUGCAGGGAUCAGCUCCCAAGCCUGUCUCGUCGGUGCCAGCGCCGGACUCACGCAAAACCGGUAACUGCCCUUCUCCCAUUCCCAGCCCAAGGAGCAUCCAACGGGCAUGUCGCGGUGCCUGGGGACACCAAGACACAGAAACUGCUCCCGUUCCUGCACAGCUCCUGGGCGCACGUUUCCCCAAAGGCCCAUUUGCUUGGCUGUGUCUCUGUCCAGCGGUGCCCAAACCGUCCGAUCCGUCCGUAGGCCAACAGCACAACCAGGCACGUGGUGUGACACUGCAAGGACGUUGCUGGGUUUGUGGCUACUAAAAUACCAUCCCGGACUGCUCCUUCCCACUGCUAUAAGCCAGCAGGGAGAACUCACCAGCCGGCGCUUCCCCAGAACAAUAAAUCCCAGCCUCUCCUCUUCCGCA
rnacentral:lncRNA from 1 species